UACGUAGGGGGCAAGCGUUGUCCGGAAUCAUUGGGCGUAAAGAGCGCGUAGGCGGCCCAGUAAGUCCGCUGUGAAAGUCCAGGGCUCAACCCUGGGAUGCCGGUGGAUACUGUCGGGCUCGAGUCCGGAAGAGGCGAGUGGAAUUCCUGGUGUAGCGGUGAAAUGCGCAGAUAUCAGGAGGAACACCAAUGGCGAAGGCAGCUCGCUGGGACGUGACUGACGCUGAGACGCGAAAGCGUGGGGAGCAAACAGG
rnacentral:rRNA from 1 species